GCCAAGCAGCCGCGGUAAUCCCAGCUCCAAUAGCGUAUAUUAAAGUUGUUGCGGUUAAAAAGCUCGUAGUUGGAUCUCGGCGGGCAGGGGGUGGUUCGCUCUUCAGCGCUACUGCCCCGCUUUGCCCGUGUGAUUGGCGGAGGUUUCGGGGUGCUCUUCGUUGAGUGACUCGGAGCGCCGUCAGGUUUACUUUGAAAAAAUUAGAGUGCUCAAAGCAGGCUUUUCACGCUUGAAUAUUCGUGCAUGGAAUAAUGGAAUAGGAACUCGUUUCUAUUUUGUUGGUUUUCGGAAAUCGAGUUAAUGAUUAACAGGGACAAUUGGGGGCAUUAGUAUUCAGACGACAGAGGUGAAAUUCUUGGACCGUCUGAAGACUGACUACUGCGAAAGCAUUUGCCAAGAGUGUUUUCAUUAAUCAAGAACGAAAGUUAGAGGUUCGAAGGCGAUCAGAUACCGCCCUAGUUCUAACCAUAAACGAUGCCAGCUAGCGAUCUGCCGAGUUUUUUUUGUAGGCUCCGCAGGAAGCUUUCGGGAAACCAAAGCUUUUGGGUUCCGGGGGAAGUAUGGUUGCAAAGCUGAAACUUAAAGGAAUUGACGGAAGGGCACCACCAGGAGUGGAGCCUGCGGCUUAAUUUGACUCAACACGGGAAAUCUCACCAGGCCCGGACACUGGAAGGAUUGACAGAUUGAGAGCUCUUUCUCGAUUCGGUGGGUGGUGGUGCAUGGCCGUUCUUAGUUGGUGGAGUGAUUUGUCUGGUUAAUUCCGAUAACGAACGAGACUCUGUCCUGCUAAAUAGUUGGGUCGUCCUUCGUGCGAUCCAAGUUCUUCUUAGAGGGACUGGCUGCGUCUAGCAGCACGAGAUUGAGCAAUAACAGGUCUGUGAU
rnacentral:rRNA from 1 species